UUAAAGCACCUCGCUUACAUCGAGAGAAUACUUGUGAAAAUCAAGUUAUUUCGA
rnacentral:tRNA from 1 species